UACGAAGGGGGCUAGCGUUGCUCGGAAUCACUGGGCGUAAAGCGCACGUAGGCGGGUUGUUAAGUCGGGGGUGAAAUCCUGGAGCUCAACUCCGAAACUGCAUUCGAUACUGCCGUGCUUGAGGACUGGAGAGGAGACUGGAAUUUACGGUGUAGCGGUGAAAUGCGUAGAUAUCGUAAGGAAGACCAGUGGCGAAGGCGGGUCUCUGGACAGUUCCUGACGCUGAGGCACGAAGGUCAGGGGAGCAAACGGG
rnacentral:rRNA from 1 species